rnacentral:rRNA from 1 species
UACGAAGGGGGCUAGCGUUGUUCGGAAUUACUGGGCGUAAAGCGCGCGUAGGCGGACAUUUAAGUCAGGGGUGAAAUCCUGGAGCUCAACUCCAGAACUGCCUUUGAUACUGAGGAUCUUGAGUCCGGGAGAGGUGAGUGGAACUGCGAGUGUAGAGGUGAAAUUCGUAGAUAUUCGGAGGAACACCAGUGGCGAAGGCGGCUCACUGGUCCGGUACUGACGCUGAGGUGCGAAAGCGUGGG